rnacentral:rRNA from 1 species
UGGCUCGGCCAUAGUUGCCGGGCAACACCCGGACUCAUAUCGAACCCGGAAGUUAAGCCGGCCACGUUGGGUUCGCCAGUGAGCUCCGAAAGGGCUCGCAGGCUUCCCAAGCCGAGGCCA